GGGGAAAACCGGAGAUGAUUGCAAUUGUGAAAGAGAAGUCUGCAGAGGUCGUAGUACUUUCUAUAUAGAAAGGAAGGAC
rfam:Candidatus Staskawiczbacteria bacterium RIFCSPHIGHO2_01_FTLL_39_25 rifcsphigho2_01_scaffold_15006, whole genome shotgun sequence.